rnacentral:lncRNA from 1 species
UCCUGUCAAAAUUUGCAUUUUCUAGUUUUUGUUUAGUUAUAGAAUACUUAUAAGAAGGCAUAAAUAUAUAAACAUCACCAUUUUUUAGGGUUUUUUUGCCAAUUUUUUUGUUGAAAUAGGAAUAAUGUGGAUUUUUUUCAGAAAUCAACUUUUAUUAAUGUUUGAAUUAGUGUUUACAUUCAACAGAUUGAAAAUAUAAUAAAUUCAAACUUAUAUGCAGUUUUUAAUUAAAAGUAAACAUGUUAUUUCCAUCAAUUUAGCAGAUAUUUUUUUUACUCAGGUAGAUUAAUCAGUGAGUGAUAGAUUUCUCUUAGAAGAAAUUUAAAGGUCCCAGUGAAUAAACUAAACAGAGGACAAAUAUUAUACCUGUUGUAUUUGUUGAAUGGGACAAAUGAACUACCAAAAGUUUAAAUGGACAAGCUAUCAGGUGAAUCUAUGGAAAGGUACAAUUGGGUUUGCAAUAAAUAAUCAAGCAUAUGAAGACUUAUUAAAGCUUAUUUCUAUAUCAUGAAAAACUUUCAAUUCUAUUAUUAACAGAGUAAUUAAUUGUUGUUUCCUUGUAGGAAUUUUGACAUUAAUAAAGACAUGAGCCAGCCCACAUAUGAAAGGAUUCCCUGAUAUUAAACAGUCAAAACAUUCAAUAAAUGUUAGACACAGGCUUAUUAUAAUGAUAAUUUAUUUAACUUGGCACAGGUUUAUGACUUUUUUUCAUACAGUUUGCAUAAGAGACAGGAAAUAUGUGGUAUGACUAAAUGUUAACAUGGACAUCAAAAACUAUAAGAAAAUAAAGAACAUAUAUUAGAAUUGUAUUCUGGUGUGAAUGUGAAAAGAAACUACAGGUAAAACGUGGCUUAGUAAGGAACUAUAUUCUAGUAAACAAAUUUUCAUUUUGAAACAAUGUUUCCCAAUUGCUAUCUCUCUCAUUUAUUAGCAAAUAAAAUAUUUUUUAAGUUUGAAUUUGUUUCAAAGCUACAAUGUAAGACUUGUUUAGAACUACAAACAAGUUGGCUGAUUAAUAUUACAUUUACGAACUGUGGUCUCAAACUACAGACAUCUUCCAAGUAUGCCAAAACCCACUAUUGUAGAUUCUAUAUUUUAGUGGGUACCAAUUUUUUGGUGGAUUGAGAAAAAAGAUUGUAUUUUUUUUUAUAUCUGAAAUCUGCAUAUAAGCCUGUCGACUUUUUUUAUUUUUACAAAACAUUGAAAAUCAUGCAUGGUCCACCUAUAACCACGAAAUCCACAUAAAUUGGUAUUCCAUGAAAAUGAAUUUACAGGAAUUAUUAAAAUGACUUCCACCUUGUAAAGUAACAGCAAACUAAAGUGUUUGUUGCUGCCUUUUUCUUGUAUACUGUUGGUGUGCAAUUUCAAUUCAAUACUUUUCCAUAGUAUAAGCAAUGCUGGGUUUUCAGUACCUUGCAUGUAAUAAGAAGGCACUUAUUUCAUAUGAUUCCAAAAUGGUGCUAUGUAUACCUUUAUUAUGACAAUUUAAUUGAUUUGGUCAGCAUAAAAUGAAUAUUCAGUACCAAUAAGUGUUUAGUCUGGGAAAGUUAUUAAUUAAAAAUAUCCAUAAAAAAAAUUGUGAUUUUUAUAACAAAUCUGAUAAAAAAUAGAUUAAAAUAUGCACAUAAUUAAAAACUUUUAUAUAAUUUACUUCCUUUGCAGAUGAAAAUGUAGUAGAAAUCUCUUUGGGACAAUAGAUAUUUUACAUGAUUUAUAAAUGAAUUUAAUGUUGAGGAUGAUUAACAGGUAGAGAAAAAAGUAUCAAAAGGAGGCUCUUAGUUAAAGGAUAUCUAAGUUGCCUGAAUUUGAUAUCAGAAUGUUCUAUCUUUCCAAUUAUGUAAUGAGAAAUAUAAAAGUUUAAAGCACUUACAAAUCAGUAUCACAGGCAGAAAAAAUACAUUUAUUUGAACACAUAAGCUUGGGGCACCAAUUCAUCAUU